GGUUGAUGGCACCGGUCUUGAAAACCGGAAUACCUUAACGGGUAUCGUGGGUUCAAAUCCCACCCCUUCCGCCA
rnacentral:tRNA from 1 species